rnacentral:rRNA from 1 species
AUUGAACGCUGGCGGCAGGCCUAACACAUGCAAGUCGAGCGGUAGCACAGGGAGCUUGCUCCUGGGUGACGAGCGGCGGACGGGUGAGUAAUGUCUGGGAAACUGCCUGAUGGAGGGGGAUAACUACUGGAAACGGUAGCUAAUACCGCAUAACGUCGCAAGACCAAAGAGGGGGACCUUUGGGCCUCUUGCCAUACGAUGUUCCCAGAUGGGAGUAGCUAGUAGGUGGGGUAACGGCUCACCUAGGCGACGAUCCCUAGCUGGUGUGAGAGGAUGACCAGCCACACUGGAACUGAGACACGGUCCAGACUCCUACGGGAGGCAGCAGUGGGGAAUAUUGCACAAUGGGCGCAAGCCUGAUGCAGCCAUGCCGCGUGUACGAAGAAGGCCUUCGGGUUGUAAAGUACUUUCAGCGGGGAGGAAGGCGGUGAAGUUAAUAGCUUCACCGAUUGACGUUACCCGCAGAAGAAGCACCGGCUAACUCCGUGCCAGCCGCCGCCGUAACAC